rnacentral:rRNA from 1 species
GAUGAACGCUGGCGGCGUGCCUAAUACAUGCAAGUCGAGCGAACAGACGAGGAGCUUGCUCCUCUGACGUUAGCGGCGGACGGGUGAGUAACACGUGGAUAACCUACCUAUAAGACUGGGAUAACUUCGGGAAACCGGAGCUAAUACCGGAUAAUAUAUUGAACCGCAUGGUUCAAUAGUGAAAGACGGUUUUGCUGUCACUUAUAGAUGGAUCCGCGCCGCAUUAGCUAGUUGGUAAGGUAACGGCUUACCAAGGCAACGAUGCGUAGCCGACCUGAGAGGGUGAUCGGCCACACUGGAACUGAGACACGGUCCAGACUCCUACGGGAGGCAGCAGUAGGGAAUCUUCCGCAAGGGGCGAAAGCCUGACGGAGCAACGCCGCGUGAGUGAUGAAGGUCUUCGGAUCGUAAAACUCUGUUAUGAGGGAAGAACAAAUGUGUAAGUAACUAUGCACGUCUUGACGGUACCUAAUAAGAAAGCCACGGCUAACUACGUG